UCGCAAUCACCUAGCGGAUCAAGGCCCGAAACAAUGUUUAGGCUAUGAGAAGAAAAAUAUAGCACGAUUUACUUGGAUUCAAGACUUUGACUUCAUUUGCAAAUAGAGUAAGUUCUGUUCUCAACAGAGAUGUAAAGCAGUUUGGGAAGCAGUUUUUAUUUGAUGGUGAUGACGAAACGUGUUGGAAUUCUGAUCAGGGUAGUCCCCAGUGGAUUCUACUAGAAUUUGAAGAGGAGGUCAGCGUCAGCGAAAUUCACGUCCAGUUCCAAGGUGGAUUCUCUGGCAAAGAAUGUUGGAUUGAGGCUGCUUGUCAGGGGGAAGAUCUCCAAAAGAUCCAUAAUUUUUACCCUGAAAAUAUCAAUCCUUCGCAGGUGUUUAAACUUCCAACCCAGCAGACUCUACAGAAGAUGAAGAUUGUGUUUAACAGCAGUAUGGACUUCUUUGGACGAAUUACAAUCUACAAGCUGGAUGUUAUACAGAGUGUGUGAUUGUUUAUAAAAGCCGGCUUUCUUUUAAAUGGAUGAGGGCUGGUGUGUUGUCAUCGUCACUGCCUUUGGUACAACCUCGUGGGGUUCUCCAAGUCUUUCCACAACCUCAGCUUGGCAUGAAUUUUCUCCCUCAGUCUCCGCAGCCCACACAACAGAACUUGUGUCAGUGGCACGAUAAUCAAAGCGACGCACACUAUCACAACUAUUGCCACCUUCGGCUUUCCGGAGUAGUCAAGUACGCU
rnacentral:misc_RNA from 1 species